UGGUGGAGUGAUUUGUCUGGUUAAUUCCGAUAACGAACGAGACCUUAACCUGCUAAAUAGUCACGCCCAGUUUUACUGGGUGUAUCGACUUCUUAGAGGGACUAUUGAUGACUAAUCAAUGGAAGUUUGAGGCAAUAACA
rnacentral:rRNA from 1 species